AUUGAACGCUGGCGGCAUGCUUUACACAUGCAAGUCGAACGGUAGAGGGGGCAACCCCUUGAGAGUGGCGAACGGGUGAGUAAUGCAUCGGAACGUGCCCAGUCGUGGGGGAUAACGCAGCGAAAGCUGUGCUAAUACCGCAUACGAUCUCUGGAUGAAAGCGGGGUACCGAAAGGCCUCGCGCGAUUGGAGCGGCCGAUGUCAGAUUAGGUAGUUGGUGGGGUAAAGGCCUACCAAGCCAACGAUCUGUAGCUGGUCUGAGAGGACGACCAGCCACACUGGGACUGAGAAACGGACCAGACUCCUACGGGAGGCAGCAGUGGGGAAUUUUGGACAAUGGGCGCAAGCCUGAUCCAGCAAUGCCGCGUGCAGGAAGAAGGCCUUCGGGUUGUAAACUGAUUUUGUACGGAACGAAACGGUCUGGGUUAAUACCCUGGGCUAAUGACGGUACCGUAAGAAUAAGCACCGGCUAACUACGUGCCAGCCGCCGCGGUAA
rnacentral:rRNA from 1 species